rnacentral:lncRNA from 1 species
AAUGACAUUUAACUUUCCUUCAGAGCGUGGAAGUUGUAAAGGGUGUUGAGAGAAAGCUGGAGGGCAGUCAGGUACAGCUUGCAAGUGGAGUUAGUGACCUCAAGCAGCAGAUACAGAAGGUGGAUCAAAAAGUGAACAAUCUGUUAGAACAGUCCAGCACUCCUGCUCCACAGGCAAACAACGAAACACAUUCUCGUAAGCAGAGAUUAACACAAGCAGAUUCAGGAACUUUAAGAGAUAAAAGAGGACCUUGAUAUGUGAAGGAGGAGUCUGCAGCAUUGCUACGAACAUUAUGUGCCAAUAAUGCUCUGUUUGCAUCCAAAGAAGUUUAACAUCACAAGACAUUAGCAGUUUGAAGCUUUGUAUUCCAUCCUGCUGUAGUAAGCUAGCUAGUGCAGAUUGUAGGGUCUUCUCAUAGAGUCACUUCUUUCCAAACUUUGUAAUAUGUUUGUGAAAAAGCCAGUACGUUUUAAUUUUUUAUGAAUUUGAAUUUAAAAGUUCAAGUUAUGUUUUUGCUUUUAUCACUAGAAUGUUUUAUGAUUAUAAGGAUUCCAUUGGUAGACACAUUAGCAUUAAGUAGCCUCACACAAUUAAUGACAGCUGAUAAUUUUAUUGCAUGACAAUGUAUUAAUUAGCUUUCUUUUUAGCCAGGAAAUAGAAAUACUCCCAGUACUAUAUGUGUAAAUAUUGCAUCAACCAUGACCAUCCAACUUCAUUGUAAACAUUUUUUUAUGAAACAAUAUAAAUUUUUGAUACAGUACAUACAAAAAAUAUCUUGUUACAGACCUUUUUUUCCAUGGGAUAUUUCAGCAAUUUACUACAUAUUCAUAUUUCUAUGGUGAUGGGAGGUUUUCUGCAGUUUUGGCGGUGGAGCUAAAGAGAAAUUGCCAGAGUUGGUAGUAGAGAACAACUUUCUCAAGUAGAUUAUUCUGUCAAGCAUAAUCUAGAAACGCAACCAUUGGUGAGCACAGUAUCUUGGCUCAGUCAGACCACUUUGUAAUAAGGAAGGAUAUCUUAUUUGCAUAAUUUUUGUAGCCAUGUGUUGCGUUUGAGAGAUGUCUAGUGCUGAAAUCUCGUGUAGAGACCAGUGUGUAGGACUUUUUAUUAUGGCUGAUAUUUUCUACAUGGUUGUGUAAUGUUAUUCAGAUUGUGAUGCUCUAUACUCUUGCUAGUUUAAAGCAAAAAGACAUUCAUGUAUAUGUUAUACGGUUCUUUCAAAUGCUUCAGAAAUUAUUGUGAAGUGUGAACCACAUUUUUGCUCAUGCCAGUUAUAUGGACACAAAAAAGUCCCGUAGUAUUUAUUUAGAUAUAAAAGAGGGACCUUGUGGAAUUAGGUUAUAGUUCUUCCUGCUGCUUUUUUUCAUCUUGACAAUGUAUCAUCAAGUUAAUUUGGAAAGAUGAUGUUAAUACGAGUGUUGAUAUUUUAUUUGUAUAAUAUCUAAUAUGUUUAGAGCAACAAAGCCUAAACCACUGUAUUGUAAAGAUAUAACACAGCAUUCCUAAAUUAUUAGUGACUGCACUUUGUUAUAUUAUGAUGGUCUGGAAGUGCUACAGUCCAUUUGUUGCAGAUGAUAAAGACCCCUGAAGUGAUGCCCAGUGCAAAUAAUGAAAUAAGAAGUACCAGUAUAAACCCUCAACAAAACCUCUUAUUUCACUUUUUCUUAGUGACAACUAAAAAGAUGAACAGCACACCAAAUCUUUGUGGUUUCUUGCUUUAUUGCCCUAAGGUCCCUGUUGUAAAAAGGAAAUAAUAAUAAUAAUUAUAAUGAAUACAUAAAGAAAUACAUAACUAAAUAAAGAUUAUUAGGGGCCAGGUAUUUGUAACUGAGGCUCAAGCCACUUUUUAGUAAAUCAUAGAAGCCCCUGCAGAUGAUUCCUCCUUCAGUAGCCUCUUGAUUCUAGGUGAUCCCAUAUCUCAUCCAGACAAGCCAUCCAACUUGUGCUUAGCAGAUAUUAUCAUGUUAAAUGUUACCUAUUUUAGAGUUGUAGAUAUAAGUGUUGCAAAAACUAUCUAGCAAAAAUACUUUACUAUUGUCAUUUCAUGGCAUCUAGAUUUAUACCUUAGGUAUGCUUUUUCAAUGUUUUCAGUGUUUCACAUUUCAUAGCAGUAGCCAAGCUUCAAAGAAAAAAUAUAUAAUGAAGCUACAAUAAGCUUAGCUUAUGGCACAUGGAUGUGGAUUUUCCUCAAUUAUAUGAAGAGAGUAAUUGUUAGAAAUGUUUGAACAGUUAUUGAUAAUAGCCCAGGUCUGCUACUCUGGCAUCAUUAAUUUCUGAACCAAAUUGCAUAAAUGAGGUAUGCUUUAUAUAGCUUUUUAUCUGUUACCCAUGUGCUGCUAUCUGUUAUUAGAAUUUAUUUUUGAAGUCUAGUCUCUGGCACUAAUGUAUGGUUGGUAGUCUUAAGGAGAACAAGUAGUUUCUUGUAGAAUCUUUAUGAAAAUUAUUUGCUUUGUCUAUUUUUCUUUUUGUACUGUUGAAUUAUAUGCAUUUCUUUGUAUUUGUUUGUGUGGUAAGUUGAAGAACAAGGCAUUACAAGUCAUUUGUGGUGUUUUGCUGUUACAUGAAAUGCAUGUCUCACAGCCUUUCAUAUCACAAAUAAUGUAUUCUUUAUAUGAAGAAACAAACCACAUAUUCAGACUUUCUGGAGAUUAGUUUUCUAUACAAGCUGCUAUAUCUUUACCUGUGAUAGCUAAAGAAAAAAAGUUGAGAUACAAUUUUGUUUCUUAUAGUGAUUUACAAGGUGAAUUGUGAGUUAAAAGAUAGUGUGACAGAUCAAGUACCAAGAUUUCCUCACUCUUGUGGGGUUAUAGAUGCAAUAUUGGUUUCUGCUAAAGUUUGGAGUAACUUCAGUACACAAGAAAAUAGAUGUGGUGAAUUGAUCUUUUGUUGGUUUCAAACUUUUCUUUGCUUAAUUUUAUAUUUUAGAAUCAGAGGACUGCAUUAGUAAAUGGUUAUGAAAAAAUCAAGGCUUCUUCAAUUAUCAUAGCAACAACAACCAUAAGCAGUGCAAAGGUAAUCAAAGGAAAUUAAACAAGAGGUCACAUUACACAUAAGUAUGGAUGUUACAUAACCAUUUGAGGCAUUGCAGUGUAAGUUUUAUCAGUGUUAAGGGGUUAUUUAGGGGAGGUAAAUAUUUGAUAAAGUUUAUACCAGAAAUGUACAUAUUUUAUGUUUAUUAAUAUCACAAUUUCGAAUUUCAUUGAAUAAGAUUUUUUGUUAUAUAUCAGACCACCAACAUUCAUCACAACAGUAGCAGUCAUGGCUUAGGAAUGAAUGCAGUAAAAAAAGAUUGAGUGUGUUUCAGGAGUUUGAAGAAAUUGUAUAGCAGAUUUUCAAAUGCAUUAUGAUAAAAAACUUCUCUUUUUCACCCAGUGAUAUAGAAAAAUGAUUUUAAAUAGAUGUGGUAUAUUGAAAAAAUUCUGAUGUUUUUAUCUCAGUAUUCCUCUGAAAGGGGAAUUAUCUUUUCUCUUUUUUCAGAAUUUAGCUUCACUUGUUCUUCAGUGUUGAUAAUCUAAUUUCAGCAGAUUAGUUUAAUGAGUCUUUACCAUUUUUUCUACCUUAAGGGUCAGUAGUAACCAAUAAAUAUUCACCAACUUAUUACUCUGAAAAUAUGGGAAGCCUGAACAUAUUUUGUACAUUCCAGAAAUGAAAGAACUACAUGAAAGUGAAUCAGUAAGCAUGUUUAUUUUUUUGUAAAUCAUUUAAUUUAAACACAACCAUGAAACAUCAUCAAGAGUUCCUGUGUAAUGGUUUAAAUUUUGUAAUUUACAGAAUAUAAUUUUUUUUAAGACUAGAUGUGUUUUUUCUUUUUUUCUUUCUUUUCUUCAUAUUUGUUUUGAUUAUUGCUCUUAUGCAUAUGCUUUUAUACUUAUAUAUUGGGCUUAAGCUACUGUUAUCUCCUGCUGAGUAAUGGUGAACUUAUUUCAAAGAAUUUCUUUCCUCAUGUAUUACUGGAUUUUGUAUUCUCUGAUGAGAUGUCAGGUCUUAAGAAAUAGCUUUAAUAAUUGUAAUUUCAGUUGCAGUGAUAAUAUAAACACCAUGCUCAUUGCCCUCACCUCAUAGGUGAAUAUAACAUGUUUUUUUUCCAUGUCUGUAAGUUAACAUAUAGUUCAUUUUUUAUGCAUGUAUUGAAUAAUUUAGCCAGAACAAUAUUAUUUUAUUAGUGAACUGUUAAAGGUUAAUAGUAAGUACUUUGUUAUAACACAAUAACACAAUAUAUAAACUAAGUGAUAACAGCUCUCAGUAAAAAUGCCAGUGAAUAUUUGCAGUUUAUAUAUGUUAAAAGUUUAUAUUUUAGUCUUGGUAGGUGUCAAACAAAAUAUAGUUUUUUUUUUUGUUUGUUUUAUGCGAGCUACUGUUGCAAGGAAGGACCCUUACAUCUGCUUGCAACCACCAUUCCAUUAAUGUAUAUCUCAGUCCAAUUGUUUGCCACUGUAUCAUAAUGAUGGUGAAUAAUCAAGAAGUUCUAAGAUAUUAUGUUGAGAGUAGACUUUAACUGCUGGUACAAAACUAUAAUGAAAAUACUUUAUUAGGAAAUUGCACAUGUAGAAGACAUAUGUGCCUGCUGAAGAUGGCCUAGAAACAGGUUUUACAGAUUUUAAGUGGAAUUAUUAAUCUUCCAUUUUAAAAUUCAAAUUCAAGCUUUCUAUGGCAGGAAAUAGCAAUAUACUACUUGGAUAUAGUUAAAAGAUAAGAUGCCUACUAUCAAAAUCAAAGUUUGCUUUUCAUAUUGUUAUCAUAUCUCAAAUAAAUCAGUUUUACAAUUCUUCUUUCACCUUUCCAGCUGUAUUUUUAAUAUUCAAGGCUAUAUUUUGCAAAUAUUAAAUGAUUUUCUUUACAGACUUUUAUUUAGUUAUUGUAAAUUUUCAGCAUGAUGGAAGAGAAAAGUCCUGACACAUUUAGACUCUAUACUUGAAUCCUAAUUUCAGGUAUUAUACUUAUGGCACUGUAAAUAAAAAAAAAGGAAUUAUUCACUAUCAGAUGUGUGGUAUUUAUGACUGAAAAAUUAUAUUUUAGGAUACUGAUAUACAGGUUGAUAUUUGUAUGCAUAAAGAGGUUUGUGUUUAGUUUUGUUUUUUGGACUAUAAACCUAAUUAUUAAUUGGAGAGGUAUGAUUUUCUUUUUUUCAUAGUUACAUUUCUAUUUUUUGUUUAAUUCUCCCCUAACAAAGAAAAUUAUAUAUAUAUCAUAGGAUUCAAGGAGUCGUAGAACAUCACGGCUGAUCAGGGUGUCGUUUUAAUCCAGCUUCAUGUAACUUGGGAAACCAUGUCGUGUACACUGAACCCAUCGAGUAUUGUAAGAAUCUUUAAUUUGUUAAAUUUGAAGAAUAAAGAAUGAAUUUCUCA